rnacentral:rRNA from 1 species
GACGAACGCUGGCGGCGUGCCUAAUACAUGCAAGUAGAACGCACAGUUUAUACCGUAGCUUGCUACACCAUAGACUGUGAGUUGCGAACGGGUGAGUAACGCGUAGGUAACCUGCCUGGUAGCGGGGGAUAACUAUUGGAAACGAUAGCUAAUACCGCAUAAUAUUGAUUAUUGCAUGAUAAUUGAUUGAAAGAUGCUAUUGCAUCACUACCAGAUGGACCUGCGUUGUAUUAGCUAGUAGGUGAGGUAACGGCUCACCUAGGCGACGAUACAUAGCCGACCUGAGAGGGUGAUCGGCCACACUGGGACUGAGACACGGCCCAGACUCCUACGGGAGGCAGCAGUAGGGAAUCUUCGGCAAUGGACGAAAGUCUGACCGAGCAACGCCGCGUGAGUUAAGAAGGUUUUCGGAUCGUAAAGCUCUGUUGUAAGAGAAGAACGGGUGUGAGAGUGGAAAGUUCACACUGUGACGGUAUCUUACCAGAAAGGGACGGCUAACUACGUG